rnacentral:tRNA from 1 species
GGGGGUGAUAAGGUAAGUGAGAUUUUAGAACCGACAAAUUAGCGGUAGCAAUCUCAAACGGCGGUUCGAUUCCGCCCACCUCCA